rnacentral:rRNA from 1 species
ACGCUGGCGGCAUGCCUAACACAUGCAAGUCGAACGAGACCUUCGGGUCUAGUGGCGCACGGGUGCGUAACGCGUGGGAAUCUGCCCUUGGUUCGGAAUAACAGCGAGAAAUUGCUGCUAAUACCGGAUAAUGACGUAAGUCCAAAGAUUUAUCGCCAAGGGAUGAGCCCGCGUAGGAUUAGCUAGUUGGUGUGGUAAAGGCGCACCAAGGCGACGAUCCUUAGCUGGUCUGAGAGGAUGAUCAGCCACACUGGGACUGAGACACGGCCCAGACUCCUACGGGAGGCAGCAGUGGGAAUAUUGGACAAUGGGCGAAAGCCUGAUCCAGCAAUGCCGCGUGAGUGAUGAAGGCCUUAGGGUUGUAAAGCUCUUUACCCGGGAUGAUAAUGACAGUACCGGGAGAAUAAGCUCCGGCUAACUCCGUG